rnacentral:rRNA from 1 species
ACAACGAAGAGUUUGAUCCUGGCUCAGGAUGGACGCUAGCGACAGGCCUAACACAUGCAAGUCGAGCGGCAGCACCUCGGGUGGCGAGCGGCGCACGGGUGAGUAACGCGUAUGUAACCUGCCCAUGAGUGGGGGAUAGCCCGGUGAAAACCGGAUUAAUACCCCAUGACACCAAUGUCUGACAUCAUUUAUUGGUUAAAGAUUCAUUGCUCAUGGAUGGACAUGCGUUGGAUUAGCUUGUUGGCGGGGCAACGGCCCACCAAGGCGACGAUCCA